CUUUGUGAGGGUUUAAUGUGAUGUAGACUUCGGACAGAGGUAUGGGUGCAGGUUUUCAUUAAAGUCAAGCAGGAGCCACACCUGAUUCCACCAGUUUAAUGACUUGAGCUUGGUUUUCAAUAUUCAGUGUGGCUUCUGCUUGCUUAGAAUGAAAACCUGCAUCCACACCAUGCCCUUUUCAGAUAGGACUGGACACCCCUGAAUUAUGAUGCCUUGUUAAAUUUGAUCCAUAGACACUUAAGAGAACGAUCAGUUCGACCUGAAUCUAAUCAGAUAAUAUGUAGAGUUUGAUUUAUUGAUACAUUUUACAGUGUGUUCCAACAGACGGUGUAGUGUGGUGCAGCACAGCACACUUACUAAUCUGAAUCCAGACCCAUGGUUAAGUAUCUGAUAAACUAUUGAGCACAGAGAGUUUGUUGUACUGACAGCAGGCACACCCAAACAAAGGCGGGGGUGCCAAUACUUUAAUCUUUGCAUGCCGAUUUUGUCACAGUGUUAAAGUACAACAAAAAUACAAACUACAAGAACUGUAAAUGGAGUUCUAUCAGGCAUGUAGUGCACUACAUAUGUCUUUUUUUGUGUGUUGUACACUAUGUAGUGAGCGAAAGCUGUUAAUAGGUAGCAGUUUGGGAUUUGGCCUGACUUGCCUAUGGUAGAUUUUAUGUCGAUCACAGGGAUGUAAAGAAAUUAGCUAAAUUUCAGCAACAGAAAACUUGAUUCUAAUCCAUCUGUUGUGUAAACUUGAUGUCUCAAAGUCACGAGAUAAAAAAAAAAGUUCAAAAAAAGAGAGAAAAAGAAGGUAGACUACAUUACUACUGAAUAUUGUUGUUCUGAAAUAGGCAGAAAAGCAUUUCUAGCUAAAGCCUUUUUUU